CGCGUACGUGUGCGUGUGUGUGUCGGGGCACAAGAGGGAUGUCAGAAGGUGCCCCUGCUGACCUCGCAGGCAGGAGAUGCCCAAAACACACGUCCCUCCCGUUCUCAGUACUGUUCUCUAAAGGAGUCAGGAGUAUCCUGUCCUGCAGAGGAGGAAACCGAGGCUCCAAGCUGGGUCCCCUGACAAUUCAAACAUCACGUGUCGGUUAUCUCUGGCUGCAUAACAAAUACCCCAAAACUGAGCAGCUGGAAACAACAAGGAUCCGUUAUUCCUGCCGUUUCUGGGGUUGGGGACCUGGGAGCAGCUGAGCAGGGGGUCCUGGAUCAGGGUCGCUCAGGAGACUAUCGUCCAAACUUCAGUUGGGGCUGCAUUUAUCUGAAAGCUUGACCGGGGCUGGAGGACCCACCUGCGAGAUGGCUCCUUCACGUGCCCGUUGACAGGAGGCCUCAGUUGCUGCGUGUGGGCCCUCACAGCGUGGUGGAUGUCUUCCCGCAGAGCGAGGGGCUGCAGAGAGCCAGGCAGAAGCCACGAUGCCUCUUACGACGUGGCCUUGGGAGUCACACUCCGUCAUUUCCACAGCAUCCCACUGGGCACAAGGGGACACGAUGGGUGUGCAGGCCUCAGAAGGCAUCUUUCUCUGACGUAUGCCGCUCGGAAGCGUGAUGGGGACUUGGGGAGAAGGGGACCAGGUGAAUGACAGCACUUCUGGCUGUGGCAGCAAGAACUGGAUGUUGGCAUCAGACGGAUCUGAAAUGUGUUCCCUGGGUGUGACCUCGAGUAAGUUUCCCAUACCCACUCUGACCCUCGGUCUCCUCCUCUGAAAAGGGAUAAUUAACUGUUUCUCCCAUGCAGGAGAAAGAAUACAGCCGCGUGUGUCAAGGGGCCUGGCGCACGGCAGAGCUCAGUUCAGCCUCUGCCACAACCCGGCCCGGGCAGCAGGACAGGCAGGUGACUUGGCCAGACGCAUCGUCCGGGGGGGGGAACACGGGCGUCCUGGUCCCAACGCGGGCAGUGAGCAAGCAAGGGCUCUUUUAUUCCCACACACCACACUAGCCAGACUAGCCGCUCCCUCCGGAGGUGCUUAGGAGACACGGCCAACCGUGCUUGUGGUUGUUGGAACGCUCCGUAAUGAGAAAUAAUCUGGACAAAUAUUUCACGCCUCUUUUUUCACAUUCCAGUGGGAAAACAACGCGGAAUGUGGAGCGCUCCUGCCCAGGACAGCCGACAAAGGCCGCGGCCGCUCCUUUAUCUCCGCUGCAAGUUCUGUUUCCCUUUUAUCAAAAAGGUGUUAUCAGGGCUUCAUAAAUAAGGGAGAAAUGGGCGACUGAAAACGGGCAGGGGACGGGGCUGGUCAGACAAAAGGAGGCCGGCAUGAAUGAAAAACGGCAAAAGACAACAUUUUUCGUUAAUUUGGCGUUCAGCAAUCACGGUAACCUUUCACCCUGAGUGCGAUCGGACACAAUUAGGCGUCGUGGGCUUUUUAGGACAAUUCAUUACAGCAAUAAUGCGUGUUACCCACUGUGGGCAUUUCGUCGUCACGGCGGCUCAGCCGAGCGGGGCUGGUGUCACUCGGCUCGCUCUGAGUCACCAACAAGUGCUUACCUCGUCCAGGGUCAUGCAGCUAAUAAACAGCAGACCCAACAAGCUCCCCACCCCCCAUGCCCUUUGACCUCCCCCAAGAAAGGAAGGACAGGUUGGGUUGGGGGUUGGGGGGACAGCCGUAAAGCCAGUGACCAGAGGGUUCCCUUUUAACUGACUUGGUUUCUGGUGAAGGUGGCUACCAGGGUGGACAAAUGGGUGGGCAGGUCCAGAAGGAGGUGGGGGCUGCAAGAAAUGAGUGGGCAGGGCUGUCCCACACUCAGGGCACCAGGAUCGGGCCCCUGACCAUGGGCCUGACUCCCCGUUCCUGCAGCCCGGAGCCGGGAGGCUGUGGGAGGCUGGCCGAGCAAGGACGUGGUCAGAGACCUGCCCACAGGGGAGGAGUCAUUCCUGAGCACCUGUUAUGCAGUCUCGACACACUCCGUUCCUGUCCUUGAGAAUCUGGACUCUGAGAGGUGGGAGGGGCCAUUGGGGUUACACUGGUUUCACGGCUGGAGGCCCAGAGAGGGCGUUAGCCUCACCUGAGGCCACACAGCCAGGACCCUCAGCAGGGCUUCACCCUCCCUCCAGGCCUCCGGGCUCCGACCGUCAUCUGGGCCCCAGCAGCUGGCACCUGCCCCAGACUCCAGCCAGAGCUGUGCCCCGCCGACCUGGCCUAACUUCGUCCUGACCGUGGGCUCUGAGGAGGCCAGCCCCAGAGCUGGUGUGACGGUGCCCCUGGCCUACUGCCCCGUUUGGGAGGACCAGCCAUGGUGGGGUCCCUGAGAGGCAGCUGUGUGGCUAUUUCCAGGGGUCCUCUGAGACCUGAAGGCCCAAUGACCCCCAAACCCCAGGGAGCCCCGGGAGCCUCUGUCCCUGGGGUAGGCAGUGAUGACUAAUGACCCAGCAGUGGUCCCAACUGUUCAGCCAGCUCUCCCCACGCACCUGUGUGUGUCGGGCACUGUUCUGGGUGCUGAGGGCAAGGGGGCUCUUGUCUGCACCCCUGGGAGCCCCGAGUCUGCCUUCACCCCGUGUCCGGCUGUGCUGGCUUGCCACAACCUUCUAGCAUAUUCCUCAGAGGUCAGCUCAGGGACCCACCUGCCCACUUUGCAGAUGGAACCGUGGGUCCCUGCUCACGGUGGACUCCUGCUGUGAUAUGGGGCAGCAGGCAACCCUCAGGGCCAUCGACCUGAUUACGUCCCCAACCCAGCCCCAGGCAGCGUGCCUGGCACACAGUAGGGAUCCUUCAAAGUUUUGCCGAUUGAACACAUGACAAGACUAAAGAGUACAGACUUCAGAACUCGACGAGCCUGAGUCCAAAUCCCGACUCUUCUCUGUAUUGGCUGUGUAACCCUAGGGAAGUCACUUAACCUCUCUGGGUCUCAGGUUCAGUGAAACGAAAGUUGUAAUAUUAACUUAGUAGGACUGUCACAAGGAUUUGUUGAGACGGUGCUUGCAAACCACGUGGCUGGAGCAGGUGCUCAGCAGAGGCGCACCGGCAGCUCCUGCCCCAGGCAGUGUGGCUCCGAAAGAGCUCACCUGCGGCGGCCGAGGCCCCGCCCUCCUCCUCAGCCCUGCGGCCAGGUGACUGCGGAGGCUCCAGACGCGGCCGGGACCGUGGGAACUUCCUGCCGCCCUGUUUGUCUUGGGCCACCGGGAGGGGCCGACCCCGCUGUCAGCUCCAGCAGGCUCCUGCCAGGUCGCGGGCGUGAAAGGGAGGAAUUGUUCCCGGGACCUUUGCUUUGCUUGUCAAGGGGAUUUCGGCCAGCACCGCCCCUCUUCCCUGAAGGCCCGGCUAGCCUCAGUUCCCCUCUCCCAAAGGGGCUGCACACCAGGGGGAGGCAGGGGCGCUGGGCGAACCUCCAGUUUCGUCUGUCCCUGCCAGCAGGUGUCAGACCCCACGCCCCUCCGUCCCCACCUCUGAGCCAGCAGCCGCCACUGCUCCUUCUCUGUCCCCAUAACCCUGCCACUUACAUGGUCCUCGUUCCCCUCUCUGUCCCCAGGACCCAGCCCAGGGUCAGAGGCUCAGGCAUUUUGGAUCCAUCAAGCUCCCCAGCCCAGGAGAGACACCCCCCCCCAACCCAGAGCAAGACACCCUCUCCUCCUCCCACCUCCCACCCUGGGAGGGUGUCCCCAGCACUGGUCUCUGGAGGUAGGCCAUAGUUCUCUACACAGUUGCAAAUGCUUCUCCACCAACUUUUUAUCGCUCUGCCUCAGCCUCCUCCAUCCCCCGGUCCUGUGUCCAGCCCACUGCCUGCUGCCCACCUGCCCUGCUUUGGCUUGACUGGCGGCCCCAGGGUGUGACCCUGGCAGCCCGGGGACCUUCGGGAGAUCCGCCGUGCGGUGGCGGCUGCAGGCCACACAGCUGGGGUUAAGGGCAGCUUCGGAUCACGGAGGCUCCGUUUCCGAUUUUCCAGAAGAUGCCGAUUAUUAACCAUCAUUGUUCUUCCCUUCUGAGGCAUGAAAAAGCAGGUUCAACUCACAACCGGAAAAGGGACAGGUCAAGGUUCCCAGAGGAUGAAAUGUCAGCCUUCGGCGGCGGCAAUGCCAUUCCGCCGGAGGCGCUGAAAAUAGACGCAAAAACAGAAGCCUCAAGUCUCCGGAGGCCAGAGAAGGAGAGACAGAAAGAAAGUGAACUCGAGAAGGGCCAGCUUGGAAGGACUUUGCCCUUUUAAAUGUGACCUUGCCACAUGCAAAAUUCAGGAAGAAACUGAGGCUCAGAGACACAAAUGACUGACCCCCAGACCACACAGCUAAUGAAAUGGUGGAGUUAGGAUUUGAACCCAGGUCUGUCUGAGCCUGCGUAGUUAUUUCCCAUAAAUGUGCUGCCCCCCUAUGCCUCCCUGUUUUCAUCUACCAAUUAGGGAUAGUCACACAAUCCAAGAAACGGCAUCAUUCUGUGCUCUGUAACCAACAUGGCAGCCUCGUGUGACAUAUCUGUUCAUGGAUACUUGGCUGCGUCAAUGAAUGGAUAUGUGGAUGGAUAAUGGGACAGUCAGACAGAUAAAUGGAUAGACAGUUGGAUGAAUGAGUGCCAUGCUUGUGAGUGGGACGGAAAGAUGAAGGGAUGGAUGGAUGGAUGGAUGGAAGGAUGACCUAUGAGCAGAUAGACUGUUUCGUGGACCAGUAGGUAGAUAGGUAGAUGAAUAGAUGGGUGAUUGAAGGGGUGAUGGGUGACUGGAAGGAUGGAUGGAUGGAUGGAUGGGCCAACAGAUGGGUGAAUAGAUAGAUAAGUAUGCAAUGAAUGGACGGAUGAACCAACGGACAGACAGAUGGCUGCAUGGAGGAUUGGAUGAAGAACAGAAGAAGGCUGGAGGGAGAGAUGGCUUGGAAGUUAGAUGGGUGAGUGGAUGGGUGGGUCCCUUUCUGAUCUAACUCAAAUUGCACAGGAUACUCUUUCUCAAACACCCAAAGCCCAUCCCAAGCUGAGGUCCAGCUCUGCGGUCUGGGUGCUGCCUGGGGAUCGUCAGAGUCGCCUUAUGGAGCAGGUGUCCUCUCCGCUGUGCCAACAACCUUGUGGCAGGAGGAAGAUGAAUGGGGGCCUGUGCAGAGCCCUGGCCAAAGCACAGGGGCUGCUCUCUUCUCUCCUCCAACUGUGCCGUGUCCCGGCUCCAGAGUCACAGCUACCAGCAGAGCAGCCUCCCCGUCAUCGGCCCUCUCCCUCCACUGAGGCUGGGAGGCUGUGGGCAAACCAGCAGCCCCCCUCCCUCCCCACUAAAGAAGCUGGCGGGAGAGCCCUGGGCUGGAGACAGGAGGGCUGGGGACAUCUCCUUCCCUGACACUGGCCUGACAUGUUCCUAGAGGGCACUGCCCACCCAGGGGCCCUGCCACAGGUGGCGGAUCAGACAGAGCACAGCUACAGGCGGAUCCAGACAGAGGUGCUCCAGCCACAGGCCCUGGUGCUCCUCCUCAGAGCCCAGGGCCCUCCAGCCGCACUGACCGAGACCGUCUCCAGGGGUCCUUCCAGCCUCAGCAGACUGAGAUUCUGGCCACGAAAACCAAGCCGCCGCAGCCCACCAGGGAAACGCAGCUGGACAGAGAGAGGAUACCUCUUUGUCAGGACUCCUAACCUCCCCUGGCCACAUGUGUCCCCUUGGAUGUGCACUGGGCCAAGCUCUGCCCUCCCCGGGUACCACGUUCCCAUCCCUGCCCUGAGCCCAUUUGGGAAGCCAGCAUAGGUUAGGGACUGGGCCAUUUCCACAGGGCAGGAGUCUGGGAGGUCCUGGGCCCGGCAGGGAGGGGUCUGCAGAAGGAGCAGAGUGAGUAUGGAGCCGAGAGGUGCCACAUGUGCCCCAGAGUGGGAGUGAGGGGAAAGGGUGGUCAGUGAGAGCAGGAGGUCCCAGGCAGGCUGAGGGAACCAGGGUCCCUUCAGAGAAGCCCGUGGCCCCUGCUGCACGCUCCAUGACCUUUGCAGGAAGGAGGCUUAGGGCUGACCUCCUGCCAUGAUGUGGCCACCACUCAGGGCCACCACGGGGCCCCAGCUCGUUCCCCUUCCAUCUCCUAUCCGAGGGGCCAGGGACGGGCCUGGGGGGAGAGGGAGGGGCCCAAGGAAGUGGGGGCUCUCGGUUCCCAGCACACCCCAACUUGGUCACCUGUCCCCCAUGGAUCAGCCUUCAAUCCCGACCCCGGGGGGGCAGAGCACUGGCCCUGGAGCUUGUCAAUCUGUGGGGACAUGUGAAGCCAGAGCUGGAGUGUUCCCACACCGUGCCAGCCACCAAGGAGGGGCCCCGAGUGCAGGAUCCCCGCCUGUCACAGGCCUGGGCGCCAGCUCGCCCCUCCACAGUGUGUGUUCCCACUGCACCUCUCGGCAGACCAAGCCCACCCGAGACCCUCGAGAUGGCCCAGCCACAAAGCAUGCGGGGCUGUCUGCUGGGCUGCUCCUGGCUGGCCCUCCCUGGGAGUGUGGGGACUGGCUACCAGCCCACCCGGGCAGGGAGAGCGGGGCCUCUGCGGGCUGCGCUUCCAGAAAUUUCCAGGGUCACAUGAAGGCUGAGGUGGUAAAGCUGGGAACAGAAGGCAAGCCUGGUAGGAAUCCCUCCUGCCCUCUGCCCUCUCUGUGGCCAGCAGAGGGGGUCCACCCAAAACCAACAGCAUCCCCCCUUGUCCUGACGAGGGACUGAAAAUUCCCUGAGGGCGGUCUGAGGCUGCAGUUUUCAGACUCACUCUUUCCUGCCGGCCAAGAGAUGCAAAACAGACAUUUUCCAGGUGAAGAAACAGGCUCAGAGAAAUAAAGUGACUUGCCCAAGGUCACAGAGCACGGAAGGGGAAGAGCUGAGAUUCCAACCCAGAACUGUGUCUUGCAUUUAGUAGGUACCAAAUGAAUGAGUGAAUGAAUGAAUGAAUGAAUGAACACCACAAUGUGCAUGCUCUUAACCUCUCCUCUGUGCCCUCUCUGUCUGGCUGAUGGCCUGGUGGGGCCUGGCUCCUGCUAAAAUACCUCCAGCGACGGGGUGCUCAUCACUAGGCGGGUAUUGGCUCUCUUCGGGACCUCUGACCAGCGCGACAUUCCUCCCCAAGCCUCGCCCAUCACGGGUCCAGUUUCCACGCGCAGCUCACGCAGAGGAACCCCAUUCUCUCCCCCAGGGCAGCCUCCAGGGCCCUGAGGCAUGUCCUAAGUGCCCCCCGAGCACCCUGACCCCAGCCCUUGCCAAAUGCCCUUUGCACCCCUCCUGGUUCCCCUACUCUGGGCCCCAGGAUGUCCCAGAAGCAGCCAAAAGAACCACCAGGCCUGGAGUGUCCAGGGGCACCUGCAAGGACACAGGCCUGGAGCACCGGUGAGCCCCACAUGCGCACGUCUCAGAAUCGCACGGACUCCAGGACCAAAAGGACCUGUGUCCAGUCAAGGGGAUAAGAGCGAUCGGAGGGGCGUGUUCCACAGGUCGGAGAUGCAGAGACUGCGGCAUCGAGGGAGUUUCAGCCAGGAGGGGACCUGUGAGUAGAGACUCAGAGGAUGAGCAGAGCAGGAGGAGAGAAGGUACGGGGCGAAGGGGGCGGCAUUUAGGGGGCGCUGAGUAGACUCGACAGCUGCAGGGCAGGUGCGGGAGGAGGCGCAGAGGACAGGGAGCCCUGACCCUGGGGAGCUGGGUGGCCUGUUCUGUGCCACCCCAAGAGGUGCUGUUUGGGUGUAGAGAGUAAUACAGUCAGGGUGAUAUGAGCUACCUCGAGACACAGCCCAGGGCAGGGAGGGGGGUUGGACUAAUGUUUUCCAGAACCCAGAAUGGAGGACUCCCGUGCCCUGGCCCCAGGCACGCGUGGUCACUGUCUGUUGACUCAGCUGUCUUCCCACCACACUGAGCCUACCCCAGCAGAGCGGGUGCACCAUUAGACACUCCCACCAGCAGCCCAUGAGGUUCGGAUUUCUCAGCAUCCUCACCAACACUCGUUAUUGGCUGUUGUGGAUACCGAAAGGACACCCGUGAAAGGAAGCCAGGAGUGGGUCAUCUUGAAAGGGUCUUGCCCAAGAAGGAGAGAGAACCAUCAGAGGCGACAGGAGGCCCGACUUGGAGAGGCGCCCAGGGCUGAGGGCGUCACAGGUGCUCAGCUGGAGGGCACUACUGGGCCAGCAAUUCAUGCCAGGGGUCCCACCGAGGAAAGGCCCUGAGGUCUGGCGUCCGACACGGCCAAGUGGGGCCUGGCCGUUUCCUAUGAUGCUGCCGAGCCCGAGGAAGGACCCAGCGCCCCAGAGCGAGCAGGAGGAUGAAACGCACAAGAAAGGGGUCCACCCACACCAGCAACAUCUAGAGACCACCUGCCAAUCCCCGAGGUCUCCCCCACCCACCGCCCAGCUGUGGUCGAGCCAACUGGGGCAGGCUCAGACCCUCAUGGAGCCCCUGGGUCUGCAUCUGCUCAGACUGUGCCCAAGAUGCGUCCACUCAGGGACUUCUUCCUUGCUCCACCAUCCUCCCCGUUGGCCCCCAGUCAUUUCUGGCCACCUCGAGCUCUCAGCACCCAGCCUAAUCACCCCAGAUGCAGCCGCCCCUAAUCACUGCACCCAUCCGGGGUUCAGCCCCAUAGGACCUCCAGCCUGUCUUCCCGAGGAGAAGAAGGGCGUCUCCAGCCAGCAGAGAGGAGGGUAGGGUGCAGUGGCCGUGCGUCUCUCAGGCCUCACUGGACACUGGGCAGGCUGGUGGACCGCCCCUGACCUCUUUCAGCAGCCACCCCCAAGAAUGGAAAGUGGAGGAACGUCCUCAGCUGGCAAGGACCGGGGCAGAGGGAAUCCAGAGUUACUGGUGUGGCCACCUUGGGGCUGUGAUGGGCAGGAGGUGACCCAUGGUAGGCAGGGAGCAAGCAUUUUCCUGUGCUCUUCUCGGGGUUCUCCCCACGGCCCCAGGGCUGGGUCUCCCAUCGCACCCACUUUCAGGGUCCCAGUGGUCAUCUUCCUGAAAUUGUACAGUGAGAGAAGGGUUGAGUGGGAAAUCAGUGCUGGGGCCUUCUGGGGAGGCCAACGCCCAUGCUCGGCUCCCCUGUGCUGACAGGAGCAUCAUGACCUCACAGAAGCAGAGACACAAAGGCUCAUGUGGCCACCACUCGGCAUGUGCAGGGACCACGCUCAGGACUGAGACACAGAGGGGACACAGGCGUGGCGGCCUGCUUGCAGCUUGCACAGUGUCCUGGAGAAGACAUUAAUCAGACGGACCCACAAACACAUAUAUGAUGACAACCGUGACAGGACAGUGAAGAGGAAGUCAGGGGAGUCUGAGCCAGCGGGAGGCCAGGAGGGCACCCUGGAGGAAGCGACUGAGAGUGGAUGACGGGCAGGACUAGCCAGGUGGCUGACACUCCAGGGCAAGGAAGGAGGCCGUGCAGAGGCCCGGGGGCCCGAAGGAGGCAGGCCAGUUCUGGGAACUGGAAAAAAGUCACUGCAGCCGAACAGCAGGGGGCUUUAGAAGUUGUGAGCGUGGGCAGCUGGGGAGCCCCAUUCCUGGGACCGCAGCAGCUGAUGGGAAGAUGCCGGCCCAGGACACCCCGCCCCGGGAGCUGUGGGGUGAGAGGGGAGCCCUGGGGGAGCCCGGGAUCAGUGCAUCUGCAUAUGACCCAGCGCCAGCAGAACAAUGGCUGGAGGAAAGCAAGUGAAGUCCUCUCUCACAUAAGAAGCCUGGAUUCUCCCCUCCAAGAUUGGGGCCCCGCCUCCAUCUUUCUGCUCCCUCACUUUCCCGCGGCUUCCAUCAUCAAGGCGCCACUUGACGGGGUCCGGCCAUCACAUGUGGACUCCACAGCCACAGGAGGAAGAAGAGAUGGCAGUGAAGGGGGCUGCUGCCUCGCUCCCAGAUCCUCCUCAGAAAUCCCACACAGCCCUUCUGCUCAACGCAGUGCCAUGGCUGCACGUAGACGAAUUCCUGGGCUGUAGGCAGGUUCCCUCCCCACAGGGGUUGCGGAAACACGGGCCCUUCAUCUUUGGGAUCUUCCCUCCCCGAGGCCAGGCCUAGACUUGUCCUCCACCUUGCUCUCACGGAAGCGACCACAAGGCAUGCACUGGGUCGCUCAGUCUCUCCAUCUCUCUGUCGUUUUCGUUCUUGUCUUAUUUUACACCAGCAGAGAUACCGGUGUGGGUGAAGCAUUGCACUCUGUCCGUGGCCCGGGCUGUAAACCCUUCAUCACACGCUUGAGCUCAUUACACGUGCGCAGCGCUGACCAUGAGGUAAGAAAGAGGCUAGGACGUUGGAGGACACGAAGGGAAUGAGAAAUGACUUUGACCUACAGGGCUGGAUGUCUCAUCAGGACAGGCACAAAUUUUGGUAGUUAGAAAGUGGAAUUGGCGCAAGAAAUAUUCAGAUAAGUUAUUGAGAUUAUUCUGGCGAUGAAAGGGAUCAAGCAGGGUGCCUUCAGCUUCAUGUCACAGAAUUUCUGGCCCAAAGUGGCUUCAAUGCACAUGGUUAUAAUCUCACCGGCAAGGAGUCCAGAGGCAGGGGGAUGCAGGGCUCAUGAGGACAUCCUGCCAGCAGGGGCAGCCUUGGCACUGCCUCCUGUGGGGUUCUCUUCACCUCUUUCCUCAGGGUCUCACUGUGGCUGCUGCCGCUGCCAACAUCACGUACUCACCCUACCAGGUCAAAGGCACAGAGCGACCACUGAUUCCGACCAUCAACCUUUCUUAGCGAGGCAGGAGAUAAAACUUUCCCAAACACGGCCUGCCUCCUACAGAGCCGUCCCCCAGGCCCUAUUGGCCAGAACUCGGUCAAACGCCCUCCUUGCCACCAACCAAUCCUGGCAAAGCGGAAGGGGAGGACCAUGACCGAUUUCCUCCCGUCGUGAUUCAUUCCCCAGGAAUGGGCCACUUUCUCCGAGCCCAUUGCAUCCGGAAACCAGAACAAUUUACAUUUUAUUUUUUAGCAUUACCAUUAGUCAGCACAGAAGAAAGAAAUGACUCCUGGGGAAAACGUCAACGAUGUUUGUGACAGGAGGCACAGAGGUCAAGGACCCCAAGUCCAGGUAUAGAAAGGAUUGUCAGUGCGGAUGUAGAAGUCACCGAAAAUGAUGAUAGGGCUGUCGUGGUGCCAGCAGCCAGCAGGGCUAAAGUCUUCAGUGAGGACCACAGGGAUGGGGAAGGGGCAGACCGCUGCAUAGGGGCGUGAUGGGCGCUGUCCAGAAAUGGUACUUCUCCAUUCUCAGACGGGCAGCCUACCACCCCCACUGACCAGGACCCUCAACUGAGGACCCUUCCUCUUCCUGGAGUCUCCCCUCUCCUCUGUCCUUGCCCCAGGCCGCCUGCAGCUCGCCCACCCUGCGCGCCAACUCCCUUUCCCGGAGUUCCUGUCCUCAGAACCGGCUGUCAGAUGGGAGAAGCCGUGGCUGCAAAGGGACCAGUUGCAGUGUCAGGAUCCCAGUGGGCUUAGGGUCGCCAUGGAAACCCCUGGGCAGAGCUCCAGGGAUGGGCGGGGCCCCAGAGAGGACCCACACCCUGUGCACAACAGCCCGCCCCCUGCCGACUCUCAGAUCCCACCCCUCGUGCGUCCUGGGAGCAUGGGGUCUGGCUGCCCCACCUGCUCGAGUCACUGCCCUCACCCCUAGUUGCUCCGCCUGUGAAAGGAAGGCUCUGCGAUCCUGGAGAUGGCCAGAGCACGCCUCGUCUGCCCCUGGGGGAUGAGGGCUGACCCCUGGGCGGUGACGCCAGCAGCACCAGGGUGAAAGCCAGGGGCAUGGCUGUGACGUCACAGGAGGCGUUGUGACGCGGGCAGUAAUAAAACCAGGGCCUUGCCGUGCCCUCAGUGAUGGGGCAGGUGGCCUUUCCGCCCCAGCUCCGCCCAGGACAACAGUGCGCUCCCCGCCUGGCCUCUCCCCAACACCCUGCGCCCCAGCGUCGUGUCCGCAUCCACCUUGGCGCCCCUCUGCUCUCCUGCACACAUAUCCGGAGCCUCGUGGACCCACGCCCCAUGGGGCUGCUCACCUACGCUGCCCAUUCAGCCCAUCGGGUGCUGGGAAUCAGAGUUCGACGGACCCUCACUCAGCUGGGAAGGGCCCCUGGCAGACCUCCGGCAUCGAAUCCCGGUGCAGCACAGGGUGGCCGAGUGUCCCCGGACACCUGGCUGAAUGAGGCUCGUCUGAUCCAGCUCAGCACAGGGCGAGUGAGUCCCUCACACACAGCCGGCCAGGAGCCUCCCCUGCAACUCAGCAAAGGUCAGCCGCUCGUGCCGCUGCCGGUGCUCCAGGAUCCCUGUCCCACCAGUGGCACGCUGGGUCCAGCCCCAGGGUCUCCCCGAAUCCUCGCCUGCCUGUGGCGGUCAGCAUCUCUGCCAGGCCCAGGUGAGCUGGCUGGAAGAGAUUGUUUCCUAGUAGAAGAAAACUGCUUCAUUCCAGUUAUCGUGCGCCCUGCCGCUGCCCUGCACCCAGAGACUCUGAGGCCAGAAGUUGCAGAGAGAGAACAGUGGACUCAGAAACUUGCCAUCACUUCCCAGUCCUGUGUCUGGCUCCCAGGUGGUGCCCCAACCUCCAGAAAGGGAAGGACCAGUCCCAUCGUCCCCUCCCGCCUCCCCCCGACCCCCAUUCAAUCAAUCUGUAAAGCAGAUGGAAGGCCAGGAAGUGGGGCAAGAAGAACAGGCUGAACACAAAAAAGCAGGGCAUCUUGACCCAGACAAGAGACAUCCGAGGCCACCGGUCCAGGUGGAAACCCAUCUUCCAGGGGAGGGCCGGGUCGGCGCUAUCUGUGAAGGCGGGGAUGGCUGCCUUGGCCAGAGGUUGGCUCCGAAAUGUCGGAGGUCUGUGGGUGGGCACCGAGGCCUGGCCUGUGCUUGGAGCCCUUCAGAGCACCAUGCUUCUGAUGGCUCACUGCGCCCAGGUGCUCGUGGGGCCCGUGGCCUGAAGACCUUUGACCUGGGACCGACUUCAGCCUGAUGUCCUGGUGGCAUAUGACUUGGGGAGCCACCUCCUUCUGGGGAGUUCUCUUGCUCAGAGGGAGCAAUUUGCCAGGCAUCCGCUUUCUUGCCAACCUUGGACGCCACAAUUUUUUCUUUUAACCAGCUCUUCUAACAGGUGGGUAGUAACACCUCAUUUGGGUUUUCACUGGCAUUUCCCUAAUGGCUGGUGACGUGGAACAUUUUUUCACGUGCCUAUUUGCCAUCCAUGUAUUCUCUUUGGAGAAAUGUCUAUUCGUGUCUUUUGUCCAUUUUCUACUUGGAUAAUUUGUUUUUCUACUGUUUGGUUCUGAGAGUUUUUUUAUAUAUUCUAGACGCAAGUUCUUUGUCAGAUAUGUGGCUUGCAGACAUGUUCUCCUGGUGUGUAGCUUGUCUUUUCAUCCUCCUAACAGAAUUUUUAAUAGAGCAAAAGUUUUUAAGUUUGAUGAAGUUCAAUUUAUCAAGUACUUUGUUAUAUGGCUCAUGUUUUUAGGGUCACGUCUAAGAACUCUUCACCAAGCCCAAGCUCCUGAAGAUUUUCUCCCGUGCUUCCCUCUGGAGGUUUUAUGAGUUUACCUUUUACUUUUAAAUCUGUGCUGUGAUCAGUUGAGUUCAUUUUUGUAUAAGGAGUGAAGUUAGGUCAAAGUAUUUUUGUUUGUUUGUUUUGGUUUUUUGGCCUGUGGAUGUCCAAAUGCUCUGGCAGCAUCCUUUGGUGAGAAAUUAUUCUUGUGGUUUCUGUUAGUUUUUUGAGCAUAAAACAGCUGAAUUCCCGUCUUUCUGCUAAGUCCAGCAUCUGGGCUUCCUUGGGGAUAGUUUCCAUUGAUUGCUUUUUUUUUUUUUUUACCUUCCUAUAGGCCAUAUUUCAUAUUUUUUUGUAUGUCUCGUAAGUUUUGGUUGAAAUUAUAUUUUGCAUAGUAUGUUUCUAUUAUAUUUUAAAUAAUAUAAUGUGGAAACGCAGGAAAUCAGAUCCUCCCCUCUUCCUGGCUUUUAUGUUGUUGCUGUUCAUUGCUAUCGUCAUUGUUCAUUUGUUUAGUGACUUUUCUGAACCAAUUCUGUAUGUUUUGUCAUGCGUGGUCAGUGACGUCUCUGCUCAGUUAGCUCCAUAGUCAGCUAAUGACUACAAAGAGAUUUCUUUAAUUCCUUGACAUAAGUCUCCCAAGUCUUUGCCAAGGGGGUCAGUCUGCCUUGGUCAGGCCGUUUACAGCUCUGCCUUAUCCUUCCCUUCCACGUGUGCAGACCCUGAAAGUGAGUCCAAGGUGAGAGCUUACAGUCUUAUCAAGACUCUCCUGAGAGAGCGCACAGCCCUGUGCACGCACAUCACCUUCUAGAGGCCCAGGAGCCUGGUGGAGCUUUUCAAAUCACCCUGGGGACACCUCAUUCUUCAAAUUUACCUUUCUGGUAAAUCUGAAGCUUUUCAGUUAGCCUUUUAUUUGCCCCCACUGUUAUCCAGGGCCUCAGGUAGCCGAGAUGUUCGACAGUUGCCUCUCAUUGUUUUUAACAAACAUUCUAGGGGGAAAAGGCCAUUCGCACUUGGCAAGGUCCAAGUGAGGUCAGAUAAAGACCACCUUGAGAAUGGGAUCUUCCAGGGAACCAGCAGAAGGGUCCAAUAGGGCCAAUUCUCUGGAAAUGGGGCUUUGAAGGAGCUCCAACCCUGCUCGGCCCCCUCCCAUGGCUCCCAGGCUGCUGGUUUUCACCAUCAUCACAGGCUGUUUGUUUUCAAGACCACUGUGGAGCAGGAGGGGGUGGGCGAGGCAUGCUGUAGGACUAGAGUAAGUUACAGCAUCAUAAGGCUCACCUUUCUUAUGAAGAUUCAGCGUUUUUUGUUUUUUUUUUUUGGAACAAACACUCCCUGGGUUGUUAUAAGCCUUCAGUUCCUUUCCAGAGUUCUGAAUAAGUUGAUUCUGACCAUUUUUGCCAGUGUCCCCAUUGCGUUUAUGGGGGAGAGAAUUUUCCCAGGUCCUUACUCCACCAUUUUCACGGACGUCAAUCUAUUUUAUUUAAAUUUAAUUAAUUUAAAUUUUAAUAGCCACACGGGACUAAUAGCUACCCUAAUGGAUAGCACAAGUCUAUAAAAUAUGAUAUGAAGUCAAUUAGUCCAUUGGAACUCAACUCCACCCUUAUGGGUACACACAAAUAUAGGAAACACAAUCACAAAAACAAAAUGAACAAGUUGUGUUAAAUGAGACUCAAAAUUUUGUAAGUUUUAGAAAACCUUUCCAAAUGUUUCAGAAAUGUAACGAGGAAUAUAGACAUCUUUCCCUAUAUAUGUAUGAUGUGAAAUGGGGCCUUCGAAGGGCUCCCGCGUCCUGAUACAGCACUGCUGCCAAGUGAUCCAUAGAGAUUAUGAAGCCGGGAACCUGAGGGUUACUGUAGAUACUCAGUAAGAACAGAAUUGCCCUUUGAUCUUGUUCCAGCACAGACGUAGCUGAGUCUUGUCAAUUUGCUGUCUUCCUGUUUAACUUGAGGGUGACUCAGGGGUCUUGAAGAUUUGUGAGUUUCUUUUGCAGAAGAAAGAGAAUGCCUUUGGGGAGGUUGCCGUCACUGGAUGGCCAGCCCCCAUCAGCCCCGUCAGCCCAGAAGUCACAUUGCCCAGGGGCUUAGCCAGAGUGACCCCUAUGUUUCCCGGAAGCUCUUCCCACCAAGCCCCUUAGCUCUAUAAACCCCCCUGCUUUCUGCUGUUGGGGAGGCGGAUUUGAGCGAGCCCAGGCUCCCGCCUACUCAUGUUGGCCAACUCGCAUAAACCUUUCUCCAUCUUCAAGCACCGAUGUCUCAGUGUUUGGCUUGCUGGGCAUGGGGCGCAUGAACUUGAGAUUAAGAGGUUUGUUAUGAAUUAUUUUUAAGAUAGAGUCUAAACCAUUUUACACACAGUCAUGCGCUGCAUCACGAUGUUUCCAUUAACAAUAGACUGCAUGUAGGAUGGCGGUCCCGUAAGAUUAGUACCAGACAGCCUAGGUGUGUCGUAGGCUCUACCAUCUCAGUUCGUGUAAGUGCCCUCUGUGAUGGUCACAUGAUGAAAUCACCUAAUGACUCAUUUCUAAGAAUGUAUCCUUGUCCUUAAGCGACUCAUGACUGUGUUUAGUUAUUUAGCCAAUUUGCAGCUUUCUAAGCCAAAGGUAAUAUAAACACAAUGACGGUAACAAUAAUUGCAUUUAUUGAGGAACCACUUUGCACUUUGCUUGACAAGUCUGAUCCUUUCAUCUUCCCAAGGGCCCAGUGAGGUCAAGGGUCAUUAUCUCCACUUUGAAGAUCAGACGUGAAGGGAUGAGGCAGCUCGCCUGAGGCCACACAACAGUGUCUGCAGGGUUGGCGCUGGCACCCAAGGCGUGCCCGGACCCAUCCUCUUACCUUGUAAGGAGAUGCGCCACAUUCUGUGUCGUUUGUGCUUCUCCGGCGGUGUUCCACAUGGAUUCAUUUUAAGGUCACUUUGUUCCUUUGGGCACAGCUCCCUUUUCCUUCUGAGACCACACCCAAGGGGCAGGGAGCUGGCGGGCCAGAGAGCAGCCGUUGUGACUCUCCAAGUGCACUCACAUCUGUCUCCUGAAAAUGCGGACAGAGUCGGGGAUCCACAGGAUGGCUCCCACACCUUGCGUUUCCCCAGCUUAGAAAACACGCUUCUCCCGACCCCGUAACUCUGCAAGUAGGUUUGACGGGGACUUUCCCAGUUUGGGCAAAAGUCCCACGUCCCAGGAGACCUCUCAUUCGCAGGCAGACAUGACAGGCCCCCUACCUGUAAGUGACGGGAAAGAGCAGACGACACCCUGGGUUCAACAGGGGGGAGAGAAGCAGCGGUCUCCACUAGGUUGUCCCAUUUUGACCCCUUUUUUUGAUAAGGAAAAAUUCUUUUUUUGGUCAAGAGAAAUACAUCCCUUUGAUCUGGUGGGGCUUGACCAAGAACUUCAGGGUCUUGUCAGAACAGUGGCUGUGACCAGCCUCUCGAAAGGAGGGUCUUUCUAUGUCCCUGCGAGAGAACAGCACAUGCCAUGCGCUUUCCUUCUGGACAAAAUCAGCAUUGCUCGUGUAUGACUCGAGGUCCCACCUACCAGGUGUAGACACCCCAGGUGUAGACAGGCAUCCAUUUCAGUCUGGGAGUGUCCCCACUUAGGGUGGAAUCUGAUAGCUAAAAUCCGCCUCGCACUUGGGUGUUUAUACGCGAAUCGUCGGGGUGGCUCCCUCGGGUGUUUGUACAGAAAGCUAAGUGUCAGCGUUAAAAGAAAAAAGAUAAAAACUCAAGUCACCAACCAUCUUAAUGUCUGGCCUUACGUUGACAAAGCCUGGGGAUGUUUCUCCUGCAAUCCCCAGGGCUCUCCUCUCCCUCUUCAUCUAACCCCUGUAUCUCUUUUAGACCCCAGUGUAAGCUUCGCUUCUUCCGAGCAGGCUCCCCAGACGUGCCAUUGCUCACCCCGCACGCUCACACGGCACCGGGCACUCCCCUUUUACAGCGUCUUCACACUGUCUUGCAAUUACUUGCUCAGGUGUCCUGACAUCUUCCCGGGGACAAGGGCUGUGUCUGCCUUGUUCCCAGCUCAGCUGCCAGCAGCUGGCACACAGAGUCCUGCACAUGGAGAAUGCACAUUAAAUAGCUCUGAAAUGAA